CCGGCAAACGGGUGCGGAACACGUACGCAACCUUCCCAAAACUGGUGAAUAGCCCUCCGAAAGGAGGAUUAAUACACCGUAACAUAAUGAAGUGGCAUCACUUUAUUAUUAUAGCUCCGGCGGUUUUGGAUGGGCGUGCGCCUGAUUAGGUAGUUGGCGGGGUAACGGCCCACCAAGCCUGCGAUCAGUAACUGGUGUGAGAGCACGACCAGUCACACGGGCACUGAGACACGGGCCCG
rnacentral:rRNA from 1 species